AAGUCGUAACAAGGUAGCCGUACUGGAAGGUGCGGUCUGGAUCACCUCCUUA
rnacentral:rRNA from 1 species